AGUCAUUUAACUUCUCUUGGCCUUAAUUUUCUCAUCCAUAAAACAGAUUGGACAGAAUAAUCUCUCAACUCACAGCUUCUACAAUUCCAUACAAACUUAGGAUGCCACCAAGGACUCCACAGCUUCGGUCCUAGCUAACUCAGAGGUCUUCUGUAGCGUGCCUCCAUUCAUUCUGAGCACAUGAUGUUAUGGUCUCUAGGAUGAAAAACAUAACUAGAAGACCAGAAGGAAUCAUAGGAAGGUCAGUAGUAUAAACAUAUUCCCAUUGAAUGAUCCAUGUUGGAUUCCCC
rnacentral:lncRNA from 12 species